UUCGACACACUAUCAUUAACUGAAUCCAUAGGUUAAUGAGGCGAACCGGGGGAACUGAAACAUCUAAGUACCCCGAGGAAAAGAAAUCAACCGAGAUUCCCCCAGUAGCGGCGAGCGAACGGGGAGGAGCCCAGAGCCUGAAUCAGUGUGUGUGUUAGUGGAAGCGUCUGGAAAGGCGCGCGAUACAGGGUGACAGCCCCGUACACAAAAAUGCACAUAUUGUGAGCUCGAUGAGUAGGGCGGGACACGUGGUAUCCUGUCUGAAUAUGGGGGGACCAUCCUCCAAGGCUAAAUACUCCUGACUGACCGAUAGUGAACCAGUACCGUGAGGGAAAGGCGAAAAGAACCCCGGCGAGGGGAGUGAAAAAGAACCUGAAACCGUGUACGUACAAGCAGUGGGAGCCUCUUAAUGGGGUGACUGCGUACCUUUUGUAUAAUGGGUCAGCGACUUAUAUUCUGUAGCAAGGUUAACCGAAUAGGGGAGCCGAAGGGAAACCGAGUCUUAACUGGGCGUUAAGUUGCAGGGUAUAGACCCGAAACCCGGUGAUCUAGCCAUGGGCAGGUUGAAGGUUGGGUAACACUAACUGGAGGACCGAACCGACUAAUGUUGAAAAAUUAGCGGAUGACUUGUGGCUGGGGGUGAAAGGCCAAUCAAACCGGGAGAUAGCUGGUUCUCCCCGAAAGCUAUUUAGGUAGCGCCUCGUGAAUUCAUCUCCGGGGGUAGAGCACUGUUUCGGCAAGGGGGUCAUCCCGACUUACCAACCCGAUGCAAACUGCGAAUACCGGAGAAUGUUAUCACGGGAGACACACGGCGGGUGCUAACGUCCGUCGUGAAGAGGGAAACAACCCAGACCGCCAGCUAAGGUCCCAAAGUCAUGGUUAAGUGGGAAACGAUGUGGGAAGGCCCAGACAGCCAGGAUGUUGGCUUAGAAGCAGCCAUCAUUUAAAGAAAGCGUAAUAGCUCACUGGUCGAGUCGGCCUGCGCGGAAGAUGUAACGGGGCUAAACCAUGC
rnacentral:rRNA from 1 species